UACGUAGGGUGCAAGCGUUGUCCGGAAUUAUUGGGCGUAAAGAGCUCGUAGGCGGUCUGUCGCGUCGGAUGUGGAAAACCCAGGGCUCAACCCUGGGCCUGCAUUCGAUACGGGCAGACUAGAGUUCGGUAGGGGAGACGUGGAAUUCCUGGUGUAGCGGUGAAAUGCGCAGAUAUCAGGAGGAACACCGGUGGCGAAGGCGGGUCUCUGGGCCGAAACUGACGCUGAGGAGCGAAAGCGUGGGGAGCAAACAGG
rnacentral:rRNA from 1 species